GGCGAACGCUGGCGGCGUGCUUGACACAUGCAAGUCGAACGAUGAAGCCGGAGCUUGCUCCGGUGGAUUAGUGGCGAACGGGUGAGUAACACGUGAGCAAUCUGCCCUUGACUCUGGGAUAACUGCGGGAAACUGUAGCUAAUACCGGAUACGACACCUUGGGGCAUCCCAGGGUGUGGAAAGAAUUUCGGUCAAGGAUGAGCUCGCGGCCUAUCAGCUAGUUGGUGAGGUAAUGGCUCACCAAGGCGACGACGGGUAGCCGGCCUGAGAGGGUGACCGGCCACACUGGAACUGAGACACGGUCCAGACUCCUACGGGAGGCAGCAGUGGGGAAUAUUGCACAAUGGGCGAAAGCCUGAUGCAGCAACGCCGCGUGAGGGAUGAAGGCCUUCGGGUUGUAAACCUCUUUUAGCAGGGAAGAAGCGAAUGUGACGGUACCUGCAGAAAAAGCACCGGCUAACUACGUGCCAGCCGCCGCCGUAA
rnacentral:rRNA from 1 species